rnacentral:lncRNA from 1 species
CGGCGGGCUGCCAUGUGCUCCGUGUUGUCGGGCCCCAGCAGUGCGUGCUGUACCAGCUGCGAACCAGUGUCGAGUCGGAUUAAAGUGGGAGAGGUCAACACAAAUAACAAUGCCACCGAAGAAAGUAGAACCCCCGGCUCUCCAAUGCUACUAUAGAGCGGACCAAAGCACCGGUGCGACGAUGGCCUAGAGGUUCAAGAGUCAUCAGGACAAAUAACUCUGAAGAUAUGCGAAGGAUAUCUCCUGUGCUGGUGAUGACGAAGCAAUUAUGUCAAAAUGAAAUCCAUAUUUGAAAAGGCUCUUUUCUUCUUUCUUAUUGGCAGUGCGUACACAUAAACUUCCCUCGCAUCCCUCUGCGUUCACCCAAAUGCUACUCCGCAGGACAAGAUUUUUUAUGUUGCUUGGCUCGCAGUUCAAAUACGUACAUUUUCUUGCAGCACUUUCAUUCUUUCUUUUUUGACGCUAGUCAUGGAUAGCUAUCUUUUCAUUAGCUGCAAGCACUUUGCUGCCUAAGCUCUUCGUUAGAUAACCUAUAUAUAGAAUAUGGGACGUUAAAGUAAGCUUGUGACGUAUGCGUGUUCUGUUUCUGAUAUUAUACUUAUCUAUUAUUUGAUAUAAUUUGGUUUAUAAAGGAAACAUUUUUAUUGAACGAUAAAGCGACGAACUGAGAGGCCCAACUUUUGUUGAUCACAACCAUAUAAAGUUCAUGCAAGUUCAUGAGUUAUGCUUGUUUUACAUUUUAAAAGCUGUUAGCGCGAACACUGCCUAUCUGCGUUUGUAUUUUCUGCUGCAGCUUGUCUUUUACUAUUUACUGUCAGAGCUUGGUAAAUAACUCCUCAUUCUGUGUAAAGCACCUACAGUGAAACUAUGCUGCACACUUUUUUUGUUUUGUAAAUAAAUCGUUCUCAUUUGAAAAAUAUGUUCUUUGUCUAA